GAUGAAGAGCGUAGCGAAAUGCGAUACUUGGUGUGAAUUGCAGAAUCCCGUGAACCAUCGAGUCUUUGAACGCAAGUUGCGCCCGAAGCCAUUAGGCCGAGGGCACGCCUGCCUGGGCGUCACACGUCGUUGCCCCCCCAUCUACUCCUUCGGGAUUGCGGGGGGCGGAUGAUGGCCUCCCGUGCGCCUCGUCGCGCGGUUGGCAUAAAUGCCAAGUCCUCGGCGACGCACGCCACGACAAUCGGUGGUUGCGAAACCUCGGUUGCCCGUCGUGUGCGGUCGUCGCGCAUCGAGGGCUCGAAAAAAUUGCCGGGCUCCGGCUCGGCUUUCAACGCGACCCCAGGUCAGGCGGGGUUACCCGCUGAAUUUAAGCAUAUCAAUAAGCGGAGGA
rnacentral:misc_RNA from 1 species